rnacentral:rRNA from 1 species
AGCGCAGACGGCGAAGCAAGUCUGAAGUGAAAUGCAUGGGCUCAACCCAUGAAUUGCUUUGGAAACUGUUUGGCUUGAGUGUCGGAGGGGUAAGUGGAAUUCCGAGUGUAGAGGUGAAAUUCGUAGAUAUUCGGAGGAACACCAGUGGCGAAGGCGGCUUACUGGUCCAUUACUGACGCUGAGGUGCGAAAGCGUGGGGAGCAAACA